AUUGAACGCUGGCGGCAGGCAUAACACAUGCAAGUCGGGCGAGUGGCGGACGGGUGAGUAAUGUAUGGGGAUCUGGCUGAUGGAGGGGGAUAACUACUGGAAACGGUAGCUACUACCGCAUACCAUCAGAUGAACCCAAGUGGGAUUCUGUUGUAGGUAAGGUAAAGGCUUACCAAGUCGACGAUCCCUAGCUGGUCUGAGAGGAUGAACAUCCACACUGGGACGGAGACACGGCCCCGACUCCUACGGGAGGCAGCAGUGGGGAAUUGUGCACAAUGGGCGCAAGCCUUAUGCAGCCAUGCCGCGUUUAUGAAGAAGGCCUUCGGGUUGUAAAGUUCUUUCAGUCGGGAGGCGUUACCGACAGAAGAAGCACCGGCUAACUCCGUGCCAGCAGCCGCGGUAAUAC
rnacentral:rRNA from 1 species